rnacentral:rRNA from 1 species
GAACGAGGUAGAUGAAGAGGUCUGGAAAGGCCCGCCAUAGGAGGUAACAGCCCUGUAGUCAAAACUUCGUUCUCUCCUGAGUGGAUCCUGAGUACGGCGGAACACGUGAAAUUCCGUCGGAAUCCGGGAGGACCAUCUCCCAAGGCUAAAUACUCCCUAGUGACCGAUAGUGAACCAGUACCGUGAGGGAAAGGUGAAAAGCACCCCGGAAGGGGAGUGAAAGAGAUCCUGAAACCGUGUGCCUACAAGUAGUCAGAGCCCGUUAACGGGUGAUGGCGUGCCUUUUGUAGAAUGAACCGGCGAGUUACGAUCCCGUGCAAGGUUAAGUUUGAAAAGACGGAGCCGCAGCGAAAGCGAGUCUGAAUAGGGCGCAUGAGUACGUGGUCGUAGACCCGAAACCAGGUGAUCUACCCAUGUCCAGGGUGAAGUUCAGGUAACACUGAAUGGAGGCCCGAACCCACGCACGUUGAAAAGUGCGGGGAUGAGGUGUGGGUAGGGGUGAAAUGCCAAUCGAACCUGGAGAUAGCUGGUUCUCUCCGAAAUAGCUUUAGGGCUAGCCUCAAGGUAAGAGUCUUGGAGGUAGAGCACUGAUUGGACUAGGGGCCCCUACCGGGUUACCGAAUUCAGUCAAACUCCGAAUGCCAAAGACUUAUCCUUGGGAGUCAGACUGCGAGUGAUAAGAUCCGUAGUCGAAAGGGAAACAGCCCAGACCGCCAGCUAAGGUCCCAAAGUAUACGUUAAGUGGAAAAGGAUGUGGAGUUGCUUAGACAACCAGGAUGUUGGCUUAGAAGCAGCCACCAUUUAAAGAGUGCGUAAUAGCUCACUGGUCGAGUGACUCUGCGCCGAAAAUGUACCGGGGCUAAACGUAUCACCGAAGCUGCGGACUGUUCUUGCGAACAGUGGUAGGAGAGCGUUCUAAGGGCUGUGAAGCGAGACCGGAAGGACUCGUGGAGCGCUUAGAAGUGAGAAUGCCGGUAUGAGUAGCGAAAGAGGGGUGAGAAUCCCCUCCACCGAAUGCCUAAGGUUUCCUGAGGAAGGCUCGUCCGCUCAGGGUUAGUCGGGACCUAAGCCGAGGCCGAAAGGCGUAGGCGAUGGACAACAGGUUGAUAUUCCUGUACCACCUCCUCACCAUUUGAGCAAUGGGGGGACGCAGGAGGAUAGGGCAAGCGCGGUAUUGGAUAUCCGCGUCCAAGCAGUUAGGCUGGGAAAUAGGCAAAUCCGUUUCCC